rnacentral:rRNA from 1 species
AGAGUUGUAUCCUGGCUCAGGACGAACGCUGGCGGCGUGCCUAACACAUGCAAGUCGAACGGGGAGUUAGCAAUAACUCCUAGUGGCGAACGGGUGAGUAACGCGUAGACAACCUACCUUCUAGAUGGGGACAACACUGCGAAAGUGGUGCUAAUACCGAAUGUUGUAGUGAGUAUGCAUAUACAUACUACCAAAGGUGGCCUCUAUUCAUAAGCUACCGCUAGAAGAUGGGUCUGCGUCUGAUUAGCUAGUUGGCGGGGUAACGGCCCACCAAGGCGACGAUCAGUAGCCGGUCUGAGAGGAUGAACGGCCACACUGGGACUGAGACACGGCCCAGACUCCUACGGGAGGCAGCAGUGGGGAAUCUUCCGCGAUGGACGAAAGUCUGACGGAGCAACGCCGCGUGAGUGAAGAAGGCCCUUGGGUCGUAAAGCUCUGUUAUUAGGGAAGAACGU